rnacentral:tRNA from 1 species
GGUAAAAUAGUUUAAAUUAAGAACAUAACACUGAAAAUGUUAAAAUGACCAUAGGCCUUUACCCA